rnacentral:rRNA from 1 species
GACGAACGCUGGCGGCGUGCUUAACACAUGCAAGUCGAACGAUGAAGCCUUCGGGUGGAUUAGUGGCGAACGGGUGAGUAACACGUGGGUGAUCUGCCCUGCACUUCGGGAUAAGCUUGGGAAACUGGGUCUAAUACCGGAUAGGACCAUGCCAUGCAUGUGGUGUGGUGGAAAGCUUUUGCGGUGUGGGAUGAGCCCGCGGCCUAUCAGCUUGUUGGUGGGGUGAUGGCCUACCAAGGCGUCGACGGGUAGCCGGCCUGAGAGGGUGUCCGGCCACACUGGGACUGAGAUACGGCCCAGACUCCUACGGGAGGCAGCAGUGGGGAAUAUUGCACAAUGGGCGCAAGCCUGAUGCAGCGACGCCGCGUGGGGGAUGACGGCCUUCGGGUUGUAAACCUCUUUCAGCACAGACGAAGCGUGAGUGACGGUAUGUGCAGAAGAAGCACCGGCCAACUACGUGCCAGCAGCCGCGGUAAUACGUAGGGUGCGAGCGUUGUCCGGAAUUACUGGGCGUAAAGAGCUUGUAGGUGGUUUGUCGCGUUGUUCGUGAAAUCUCACGGCUUAAACUGUGAGCGUGCGGGCGAUACGGGCAGACUAGAGUACUGCAGGGGAGACUGGAAUUCCUGGUGUAGCGGUGGAAUGCGCAGAUAUCAGGAGGAACACCGGUGGCGAAGGCGGGUCUCUGGGCAGUAACUGACGCUGAGAAGCGAAAGCGUGGGGAGCGAACAGGAUUAGAUACCCUGGUAGUCCACGCCGUAAACGGUGGGUACUAGGUGUGGGUUUCCUUCCUUGGGAUCCGUGCCGUAGCUAACGCAUUAAGUACCCCGCCUGGGGAGUACGGCCGCAAGGCUAAAACUCAAAGGAAUUGACGGGGGCCCGCACAAGCGGCGGAGCAUGUGGAUUAAUUCGAUGCAACGCGAAGAACCUUACCUGGGCUUGACAUGCACUAGAAACACCUAGAGAUAGGUGCCCCCUUGUGGUUGGUGUGCAGGUGGUGCAUGGCUGUCGUCAGCUCGUGUCGUGAGAUGUUGGGUUAAGUCCCGCAACGAGCGCAACCCUUGUCUCAUGUUGCUAGCGGGUAAUGCCGGGGACUCGUGAGAGACUGCCGGGGUCAACUCGGAGGAAGGUGGGGAUGACGUCAAGUCAUCAUGCCCCUUAUGUCCAGGGCUUCACACAUGCUACAAUGGCCGGUACAAAGGGCUGCGAUGCCGUGAGGUGGAGCGAAUCCUUUAAAGCCGGUCUCAGUUCGGAUCGGGGUCUGCAACUCGACCCCGUGAAGUCGGAGUCGCUAGUAAUCGCAGAUCAGCAACGCUGCGGUGAAUACGUUCCCGGGCCU